rnacentral:rRNA from 1 species
UAAAUGAUUAGAUACCCCACUAUGCUUUGCCCUAAACAUUGAUAGUUUUUUACAACCACUAUCCGCCUGGGUACUACGAGCAGCAGCUUAAAACCCAAAGGACUUGGCGGUGCUUUAGACCCACCUAGAGGAGCCUGUUCUAAAACCGAUAACCCCCGUUCAACCUCACCUUUCCUUGUUCUCCCCGCCUAUAUACCGCCGUCGUCAGCUUACCCUAUGAAGGCCCUUCAGUAAGCACAAUUGGUACAACCCAAAACGUCAGGUCGAGGUGUAGCGUAUGGAAAGGGAAGAAAUGGGCUACAUUCCCUGUUAUAGUGAAUUACGAAUAAUACUACUGAAACGUAUAUCUAGAAGGAGGAUUUAGCAGUAAGCAGAAAAUAGAGCGUUCUACUGAAACCGGCCCUGAAGCGCGCACACACCGCCCGUCACCCCCUCA